GACGAACGCUGGCGGCGUGCUUAACACAUGCAAGUCGAACGAAGUGGAGAACGGGUGAGUAACGCGUAAUCAACCUGCCCUUCAGAGGGGGAAAACAGUUGGAAACGACUGCUAAUAACGCAUACUGAAGGAGGGGAGUGCGUCGGAUUAGCUAGUUGGAGGGGUAACGGCCCACCAAGGCGAUGAUCAGUAGCCGGUCUGAGAGGAUGAACGGCCACAUUGGGACUGAGACACGGCCCAGACUCCUACGGGAGGCAGCAGUGGGGAAUCUUCCGCAAUGGACGAAAGUCUGACGGAGCAACGCCGCGUGAGUGAUGACGGCCUUCGGGUUGUAAAGCUCUGUUGAUCGGGACGCGGUACCUGAAUAGAAAGCCACGGCUAACUACGUGCCAGCAGCCGCGGUAAUAC
rnacentral:rRNA from 1 species